rnacentral:rRNA from 1 species
UACAGAGGUGGCAAGCGUUGUUCGGAAUUACUGGGCGUAAAGGGCGCGUAGGCGGCCUUCUCAGUCAGACGUGAAAUCCCCAGGCUUAACUUGGGAACUGCGUCUGAUACUGGAAGGCUUGAGUGCGGGAGAGGGAUGUGGAAUUCCAGGUGUAGCGGUGAAAUGCGUAGAUAUCUGGAGGAACACCGGUGGCGAAGGCGGCAUCCUGGACCGGCAUUGACGCUGAGGCGCGAAAGCCAGGGGAGCAAACGGG